AUGCACCGAAGCUGCGGCAGCGACACUGUGUGUUGUUGGGUAGGGGAGCGUUCUGUAAGCCUGUGAAGGUGUGCUGUGAGGCAUGCUGGAGGUAUCAGAAGUGCGAAUGCUGACAUAAGUAACGAUAAAGCGGGUGAAAAGCCCGCUCGCCGGAAGACCAAGGGUUCCUGUCCAACGUUAAUCGGGGCAGGGUGAGUCGACCCCUAAGGCGAGGCCGAAAGGCGUAGUCGAUGGGAAACAGGUUAAUAUUCCUGUACUUGGUGUUACUGCGAAGGGGGGACGGAGAAGGCUAUGUUGGCCGGGCGACGGUUGUCCCGGUUUAAGCGUGUAGGCUGGUUUUCCAGGCAAAUCCGGAAAAUCAAGGCUGAGGCGUGAUGACGAGGCACUACGGUGCUGAAGCAACAAAUGCCCUGCUUCCAGGAAAAGCCUCUAAGCAUCAGGUAACAUCAAAUCGUACCCCAAACCGACACAGGUGGUCAGGUAGAGAAUACCAAGGCGCUUGAGAGAACUCGGGUGAAGGAACUAGGCAAAAUGGUGCCGUAACUUCGGGAGAAGGCACGCUGAUAUGUAGGUGAAGUCCCUCGCGGAUGGAGCUGAAAUCAGUCGAAGAUACCAGCUGGCUGCAACUGUUUAUUAAAAACACAGCACUGUGCAAACACGAAAGUGGACGUAUACGGUGUGACGCCUGCCCGGUGCCGGAAGGUUAAUUGAUGGGGUCAGCGCAAGCGAAGCUCUUGAUCGAAGCCCCGGUAAACGGCGGCCGUAACUAUAACGGUCCUAAGGUAGCGAAAUUCCUUGUCGGGUAAGUUCCGACCUGCACGAAUGGCGUAAUGAUGGCCAGGCUGUCUCCACCCGAGACUCAGUGAAAUUGAACUCGCUGUGAAGAUGCAGUGUACCCGCGGCAAGACGGAAAGACCCCGUGAACCUUUACUAUAGCUUGACACUGAACAUUGAGCCUUGAUGUGUAGGAUAGGUGGGAGGCUUUGAAGUGUGGACGCCAGUCUGCAUGGAGCCGACCUUGAAAUACCACCCUUUAAUGUUUGAUGUUCUAACGUGGACCCGUGAUCCGGGUUGCGGACAGUGUCUGGUGGGUAGUUUGACUGGGGCGGUCUCCUCCUAAAGAGUAACGGAGGAGCACGAAGGUUGGCUAAUCCUGGUCGGACAUCAGGAGGUUAGUGCAAUGGCAUAAGCCAGCUUGACUGCGAGCGUGACGGCGCGAGCAGGUGCGAAAGCAGGUCAUAGUGAUCCGGUGGUUCUGAAUGGAAGGGCCAUCGCUCAACGGAUAAAAGGUACUCCGGGGAUAACAGGCUGAUACCGCCCAAGAGUUCAUAUCGACGGCGGUGUUUGGCACCUCGAUGUCGGCUCAUCACAUCCUGGGGCUGAAGUAGGUCCCAAGGGUAUGGCUGUUCGCCAUUUAAAGUGGUACGCGAGCUGGGUUUAGAACGUCGUGAGACAGUUCGGUCCCUAUCUGCCGUGGGCGCUGGAGAACUGAGGGGGGCUGCUCCUAGUACGAGAGGACCGGAGUGGACGCAUCACUGGUGUUCGGGUUGUCAUGCCAAUGGCACUGCCCGGUAGCUAAAUGCGGAAGAGAUAAGUGCUGAAAGCAUCUAAGCACGAAACUUGCCCCGAGAUGAGUUCUCCCUGACCCUUUAAGGGUCCUGAAGGAACGUUGAAGACGACGACGUUGAUAGGCCGGGUGUGUAAGCGCAGCGAUGCGUUGAGCUAACCGGUACUAAUGAACCGUGAGGCUUAACCUU
rnacentral:rRNA from 3 species